UUACAGAAAUUACAGCACAAAGCAGUUAAUGCAAAUUAUUCAAUUGCAUUCAAUCCUGAUGUGGUUUUCUUGGACUCUUAAAUAGGAAAUGACCAACCAGCAUGAGGAGCCCUGGAAGGCAGUGCUGUGAUCGUGUUCAGGGCAGCAUCAAACAGAAGCCUGUUCUUGGAUUCCUGCUCUCUCUGCAAACAGCUUGCACUCAGAUUUUUGGGUGAUGUGUGUGAAGGACUUCGCUUGCCCAGAGAUCAAAGGACCGGCCCCCUGCAGGAUCCAUGGAACCACAG